rnacentral:rRNA from 1 species
GAUGAACGCUGGCGGCGUGCCUAAUACAUGCAAGUCGAGCGAACAGAUAAGGAGCUUGCUCCUUUGACGUUAGCGGCGGACGGGUGAGUAACACGUGGGUAACCUACCUAUAAGACUAGGAUAACUUCGGGAAACCGGAGCUAAUACCGGAUAAUAUUUCGAACCGCAUGGUUCGAUAGUGAAAGAUGGUUUUGCUAUCACUUAUAGAUUGACCCGCGCCGUAUUAGCUAGUUGGUAAGGUAACGGCUUACCAAGGCGACGAUACGUAGCCGACCUGAGAGGGUGAUCGGCCACACUGGAACUGAGACACGGUCCAGACUCCUACGGGAGGCAGCAGUAGGGAAUAUUCCGCAAUGGGCGAAAGCCUGACGGAGCAACGCCGCGUGAGUGAUGAAGGUCUUCGGAUCGUAAAACUCUGUUAUUAGGGAAGAACAUACGUGUAAGUAACUGUGCACGUAUUGACGGUACCUAAUCAGAAAGCCACGGCUAACUACGUG